rnacentral:miRNA from 1 species
ACCACCUCUUGCCUUCCACAGGC